rnacentral:sRNA from 1 species
UGUCCACGAUCUGCGGGCAGAUGAAGUGCACGUGGCAGUCGAUGCCGCCGGCGGUGAGGAUCUUGCCGUUGCCGCUCACGACGUCGGUGGACGGGCCGAUGACCAGCGCCGGGUCCACGCCGUCCAUGGUGUCCGGGUUGCCGGCCUUGCCGAUGCCGACGAUCCGGCCGUCCCGCACGCCGAUGUCGGCCUUCACCACGCCCCAGUGGUCGAGCACGACCGCACCCGUGAUGACCAGGUCCGGCGCGCCCUCGGCGCGGGUGGCGACACCCUGGCCCAUCGAUUCGCGGAUCA